GACAAGGAGUGCAUAUUUGUUGUUUGCCAGGAAGGUUACCAUUGGGCCUUGUUAGUUAUUUUCCCAAAAUGGAAUACAGUGUACAAUAUUGACUCCAAAGGUUACCAAUCCCCUAGCUGCUAUAGUAUUAAGAAGCUAUUCGAUGAGGCUUUUGGUGCUUAUGUCGACAAAAAAGGUCGCCAUAACAAGAAUUUUGGUCGCACAGUUAUAUGGAAACAUUUUCAGGUAAUCAUGUUCUUAACCUAAAAUUAUUAGCAAGACAUAUAAUUACAC